rnacentral:rRNA from 1 species
GACGAACGCUGGCGGCGUGCUUAACACAUGCAAGUCGAACGGAAAGGCCCUGCUUUUGUGGGGUGCUCGAGUGGCGAACGGGUGAGUAACACGUGAGUAACCUGCCCUUGACUUUGUGAUAACUUCAGGAAACUGGGGCUAAUACCGGAUAGGAGCUCCUGCUGCAUGGUGGGGGUUGGAGAGUUUCGGCGGUUGGGGAUGGACUCGCGGCUUAUCAGCUUGUUGGUGGGGUAGUGGCUUACCAAGGCUUUGACGGGUAGCCGGCCUGAGAGGGUGACCGGCCACAUUGGGACUGAGAUACGGCCCAGACUCCUACGGGAGGCAGCAGUGGGGAAUAUUGCACAAUGGGCGGAAGCCUGAUGCAGCAACGCCGCGUGCGGGAUGACGGCCUUCGGGUUGUAAACCGCUUUCGCCUGUGACGAAGCGUGAGUGACGGUAAUGGGUAAAGAAGCACCGGCUAACUACGUG